ensembl:lncRNA MIR7-3HG MIR7-3 host gene
ACGGGACACCUGCAUCUGCCAACAAGACUGGAAGCAGGUUGGCGCAUGGACAUUUUCCCAGAAAGGGACAGAGACGGCGAAGUUUGACGGUCUGGAAAGCAGAGACCAGCAGGGCUGACUGCUUGGGAGCACCAAAUAUCCGGACAGCGCCUCUCGGGAGGUCCGAGAAGAGAACCGCGAUCUGUUUCAGCACCGGGGCUCAGGACAGUUCCCAGCGGGCUCCGUUUCGUCUCCAGAACCCUGGACAGCUCCUCCAGUAGAGACGGGGUUUCACCAUGUUGGCCAGGCUGGUCUCAAACUCUUGACCUCUUCAUCCGUCCACCUCAGCCUCCCAAAGUGCUAGGAUUACAGGCGUGAGUCACUGCGCCUGGCCCAAGUCCGGAAUUUUCAACAGCCUCAGGGCUUUUGCCUCUGCUGUUCCUGCAGCUUGGAAUGCACUCCCUCCACCUCCAACCAGAGCUCCCCACAACUGACCCUGCCUUCUUCUGCAAGCUCCAUUUCAUCAAGGGAAACGAUCCUUAUUGCCUCACCAUUUCCCACGUGAAGUCUGUAUUGACAUUCUCAUAGACCUGGGAUAUUGUGUCUGCAGCACAUAGUCCAAUUAUUUUCAUGUUAUCUACUGACAGGUCUAUUUGUCUCCCUGUUACACUGUGAGCUCCGUGAGGGCAGAAACAAUGUUAGUAUUUUCACUGCUGUGUCCCCAGCGCCUGGUCCGGGGCCCGGCACACAGCAGGCAUAUAAUAAGCAUGUGUUGAAUCAAUAAAGGCAUCAAAGAAUAAACCAAUACAUCAAUCAAUAAAUGAAUGAAUGGCCUCAGCA